UACAGGGGGUGCAAACGUUGCUCGGAAUUAUUGGGCGUAAAGCGCACGUAGGCGGUUCGUUAAGUCGGAUGUGAAAUCCCACGGCUCAACCGUGGAAGUGCACUCGAAACUGCAUAGCUAGAGUCCUGGAGAGGAAGGUGGAAUGCUUGGUGUAGAGGUGAAAUUCGUAGAUAUCAAGCGGAACACCGGUGGCGAAGGCGGCCUUCUGGACAGUGACGUGACGCUGAGACGGCGAAAGCGUGGGGAGCAAACAGG
rnacentral:rRNA from 1 species